rnacentral:misc_RNA from 1 species
GGUGCCUACUUUGACCCCACGUCUAGUGAAGGAAAUGAAUCUUUUAGCCAUGCUGCUGGACUGUUAUGGGGACAUACUUAUAUCUUGUGCAGAGGAAAAUGGUAGAUUGAAGGUCAAUAAAUGGGGAAAUUUGUAUGAAACUACUCUUCGUGUGGUUGAAGACAUACGAUUUGUCAUGAGUCAUUCUGCUGUACCCAGAUAUGUGGUCCGUGAUAGGCGAGAUAUACUUAGAAGGUGGAUGAAGCUGUUGACUUUUGUACAAGGCAUGAACCCUCAAAAGAGAGAAACUGGCAUCCAUGUAGAAGAUGAGGGUGAUAAUAUGCAUUUGCCUUUUGUUCUGGGUCAUACAAUUGCAAAUAUUCAUUCUCUAUUGGUGGGUGGUGCAUUCUCUAUUAGCAGCACUGAAGAUGCUGAUGAUGCUUUGUUCAACACGCAUAUACAAGAUUUUGAUGACCAAGAUAGUGAAAGACUUGCAAAAGUUGGAAGGCUAUCACAGGAAAGUUCU